rnacentral:lncRNA from 1 species
ACUUUAGCUUAAUUAAUUUCAUAACAUUUCAGUCAUUUCUCAAAAGUGAAUGAAAAAAAAUGAUUGAAUUGUUUGAUUGAAAAUAUGAUCUUGCAUUGCAGAAGAACACGGGGAUAGAUCACAGCCAGGAAGACCAGGAAAUUAAAAAACAGGCCACACAGCUUGAUCAGUCAUCUUUUUAUAGUUUCUCUGAUCAUCCAAAGCAGUCUUAGACCAACUACUUGGAAGGUUCGUUGCAACCAAGAAGGAAAUUCUUGAAAGUUGGAAGAUUCCAAGUUGUGCCUUUAGGUUCACAGCUGUACUAGUAAUGCAGAAGUCUGUACUCUGUUCAACACUUGAAGGACAAAGAAGAUCAACGUAACACCACUCUCCUUGCAAAUCAUUUUAUUUUAUUUAUUGUCACAUUUGUCCUCUAUGAUUAUUUUGCACUUGAACCUUGACCUUUAGGAGACAAGCACCAAUCUGUUUGUGGAAUUACUCUGCAUAAAUAGGAGUUGCAGAUUAGUCCUGUAAUGAAAUCAACCAGUCUGGUCAAUUCCGCUCAAGAAUAAUUUUCAAAAGUUUAAAUUAUAACUGCUUUAAAUUUGGGAACCAAGCACAUUCUAUGAACAGACUGUAGGAGUACUUGUGUAGUAAGUUCAAACGUCUAUAUGUGAAGCAAUCCCGUCUAUUUCAUUUUAAAUAGAGAUACAUUUAAUAAUCUCUGGUUAUUGUUUCAUGAUAGUUUUGGAGGCAAAAUUAAUCUAAGACCCUCUCCUUUCCACCUUCAGAUGAUUGUUCCCAUUUUCAUAUUACAUGCUUCUAUUUGAUCCAACUGAUACCACUGUUCUUAUAGCUGUGCUUUAAUUUGGAUAACUUAAAUGAUCAAGGUUAAAAAUAACUCCAAUCUGAAAAUAAACAAACAAACAAAAAAUCUUUUAAACUCCCU